UACGGAGGGUGCAAGCGUUAAUCGGAAUUACUGGGCGUAAAGGGUGCGUAGGUGGUCUAAUAAGUUAUGUGUAAAAUCCCUGGGCUCAACCUGGGCAGGUCAUAUAAAACUGUUAGACUCGAGUAUAGGAGAGGGUAGUGGAAUUUCCGGUGUAGCGGUGAAAUGCGUAGAGAUCGGAAGGAACACCAGUGGCGAAGGCGGCUACCUGGCCUAAUACUGACACUGAGGCACGAAAGCGUGGGGAGCAAACAGGAUUAGAUACCCUGGUAGUCCACGCUGUAAACGAUGUCAACUAGCUGUUGGUUAUAUGAAUAUAAUUAGUGGCGCAGCUAACGCGAUAAGUUGACCGCCUGGGGAGUACGGUCGCAAGAUUA
rnacentral:rRNA from 1 species